AGACUUACCUGGCAUGCUGGUGGAAUGCAGACUCCUGGGGCUGUCCCUGCAAAUCUACUGAAUCAGAGUUUCUAAAAUAAGUGAUAAAUCAGACUGAUAGUCUCAGCAAUUCUCAAACCUAUUGUCUGCAGGAUUUAAACAAAAAGGAGAACAGCGUGGUGGGAAAAACUGAAUUAGGAAUGCCAAGAGCUGAGUUGUAGCCCCUGCUCAUUCAUUCAUUCAUUCAUUCAUUCAUUCAAUCAUUCAUUUCCCUGCCUUAGGACCUAGAAUUGUGAAAGGCCCACAAAAUCAGAAAAAAGAGGUGGGAGAGCAACGGGGUGAAGAGUCCAGUGGAAAUCAGCACUGCCCACUAAAGCUGAUUCUUUCUUGAUUUUAAAGAAGUAAUAUUUUGUAAUAUUUUACAGAACAUGAUUAGUUCUACAAUAUACCAAAAGAAAGAUGCUUUGA